UUGUCUUGCAGUUUUAGUUUGUUUUCAUCUCUUUACUCAACAUUGUUUCUUUUGGCGUAAUGCAGUGGGAUUGUUAACCCUUUCAUUUGCUUAGCUCCCGAGUAGAAUUUACAGGUUUGACUGAAUUGUGGAGAGGAAUGGCGAUUCGUUGCUGGUGCAGAGUCAGGAGUGCUUGGAGAAGGUUGCCAAGACGGUCUCCUUCCUCGCGCAGCCUGAAGGCUCAUUCCUGCUGUUGCUCACAGGCUUAAACAUUUGGUAUCACAUCUCAUUAGAGCGAGCGUGUGACCUAUGUAGCUGGGAUUACUUUGGAUUCAACGCAACAUCGGCAGCUUAUAUUUAUAAUUUGGAACCAAACAUCAUGUGCUUAUUCUUGUAUGUGAAUGUUCUCUUGAAAAUCUUAGUUGUAUUCUUUGGAGCUUAUGUGUAUAUAUCUCUGUGUGUGUGUGUAGUCGUCACUAGUUGACAAUUUAAGUAUCUUGAUACCUCCUAAAUUUUGUAACAAACAUUGCUGGUGUUGUUAUGUUAGAAGUCAAUAUGUAUCAAAAUUUGUAAUUCUGAAUCAUCUGUUUUCUUUCUCUAACGCUUUUGAUUCAUGCUUCUUUUGCGAGGGGAAGUUCAAAAGGACCGCGCGCUGGAGCUCCUAAACGUGCGCCCCUUCUACUUCGUUUACUUAUGUGGCGUGAAGACAUAAAGCAAACCUUUGGAGCCAUAGUUGUCUUUUUUGUCAUCUAAAAUAAUAAUGGUAACAUA